AUAAAUUAAUUCAAAGAAAUAGAUAUUUUAAAUCGAUGUGAAAUUCAAUACAAUGAGAUCCUAACAAUUUAAAAGGCUAAAGAGAAUUACAAUAUAGGGUGUAAGCUUAAAUAACACUAAAAACUAUCCCAAGACCCAGAACCUACUCCAAUAAUAAAAAACUAAAGCCAAAAAAUCCUAACCGUAGCUCAACCAGGCACAGGAUCUGGCUGGUGGAUCCGAACCAGCAAAAUACAACAUUUUCAAUGUUGCAGACCACCUCUUGGGAGAACAAAACCACUAAGAUCUAGCCAUCGCUGAUAAGAAAGAUGAAUCCAAAACAUUCUCAGUCAUUGAAGCCCAUGGCAGGAUAGAAAAAACUAACAUGUAAACCACUCCAUCCACCAUCAAGGAGAGAUGUGUUGUGGUUUAGCAAUAAUGGCAAAAAAGGACAAAGGAGAGAGCAGAUCUACCACUUUGUGUACUAAACCAGCCACAAAGAAGAACUAGAAUUCAGAUCAAAACAUUCUGUCACAACUUCAAAGAGAAGAGCCAACAUGGCAUAGUCUUGGCUUUGUAGUAGCUCACGAAGGAUUGAAGUAAACAACGAGGGGCAUUGUGAGCAUCCUUGGGAUGACCAACGAAAAGUCAAGAAGCU
rnacentral:lncRNA from 1 species